CGCGUGAAAGCGCGUGACCCGUUCGGGGGAUUUGCACAGGUGCUGCAUGGCCGUCGUCAGCUCGUGUCGUGAGAUGUUGGGUUAAGUCCCGCAACGAGCGCAACCUUGUGUUUAGUUGCCAGCACGUAAAGGUGGGAACUCUAGACAGACUGCCCAGAUCAACUGGGAGGAAGGUGGGGACGACGUCAGGUCAGUAUGGCCCUUACGCCUAGGGCUGCACACGUACUACAAUGCCCAGUACAAUGAGAGCCGAGACCGCGAGGUGGAGGAAAUCUGCAAAACUGGGCUCAGUUCGGAUUGGAGGCUGCAACUCGCCUCCAUGAAGUCGGAAUCGCUAGUAAUGGCGCAUCAGCUACGGCGCCGUGAAUACGUUCCCGGGUCUUGUACACACCGCCCGUCACAUCAUGGAAGUCAGUCGCACCCGAAGCGCCUGUGCCAACCGCAAGGAGGCAGGGUUCUAAGGUGUAGCCGGUAACUGGGAUGAAGUCGUAACAAGGUAAGCGUAGUGCU
rnacentral:rRNA from 1 species